GGAUGUGAGGGCGAUCUGGCUGCGACAUCUGUCACCCCAUUGAUCGCCAGGGUUGAUUCGGCUGAUCUGGCUGGCUAGGCGGGUGUCCCCCUCCUCCCUCACCGAUCCAUGUGCGUCCCUCCCGAAGCUGCGCGCUCGGUCGAAGAGGACGACCUUCCCCCCCGAGGAGAGGACCGGUCUUCGGUCAAGGGUAUACGAGGAGCUGCGCUCCCCUGCUAGAACCUCCAAACAAGCUCUCAAGGUCUAUAUCUAUAUCUAUAUCUAUAUCUAUAUCUAUAUCUAUAUAUCUAUAUCAUCUGUAUCUAUAUCUAUAU
rnacentral:snRNA from 1 species